rnacentral:rRNA from 1 species
UGAAAAAAUGCACUCAAGCAUAAAAAAGCAGAGAUCAAAACUCGUACCUUUUGCAUCAUGAUCUAGCCAGUACCCCCAAGCAAAGAGAACUCUAGUUUGAUGCCCCGAAACCUCCGACGAGCUACCUCAAGGCCGCCUAAGACAGGGCAAACCCAUCUCUGUGGCAAAAGAGUGGGGAGACCUUCAGGUAGAGGUGAAAAGCCUACCGAGUCAGGUUAUAGCUGGUUGCUCAGAAAAUGAAUAACAGUUCAGCCCCAUAUUACGCCCCUUACCAACCAUAUUAUCCCACAGGCAACAGGGACACUCAUGGGAGUUAGUUAAAGGAGGUACAGCUCCCUUAACAAAGAAUACAACCUUAAUACAGGAGGCUAAGGAAUAUAUUUUACCAAAGGCUUCUAAAAGUUUUAGUGGGCCUAAAAGCAGCCAUCCAAACGAAAAGCGUUAAAGCUUAAACCAAACCAAGCCUAAUAUUUCAUUCAACCCUCCAAUGCCCCUGCAUACUACUAAGCCAUUUUAUGCUCACAUAAAAGAGACCAUGCUAGAACAAGUAAUAAGAAGAAUGAACUUCUCCCCGCACACGUGUAAAUCGAACCGGACAAACCACCGAUAAUUAACGAACCCAAAAACAGAGGGCCCCACACAAUCGCCACCCAAACCAAGAAAACCACGUCCCCCCACAAUCGUUACCCCUACACAGGAGUGCACACAUUUAAGGAAAGGCCAAAAGGAUGAAAAGGAACUCGGCAAACCUAAACCCCGCCUGUUUACCAAAAACAUCGCCUCUUGCUAUUAACCACAUAGGAGGUCCCGCCUGCCCCGUGACUUUACGUUUAACGGCCGCGGUAUUCUAACCGUGCAAAGGUAGCGCAAUCAAUUGUCUUUUAAAUGAAGACCUGUAUGAAUGGCAUAACGAGGGUUUAACUGUCUCUUUUACCCGACCAAUGAAACUGAUCUGCCCGUGCAGAAGCGGGCAUAAAAAUACAAGACGAGAAGACCCUGUGGAGCUUCAGACACUAACCAACCCACACAACAACGGUUUCAACCAACAAACCGAAAUAACUUUGGUCCUGACACAAAUGUCUUCGGUUGGGGCGACCACGGUGAGAAAACAAAGCUCCCGAGCGGAUUGUGUAAUCCCUCCUAAAACUUAGAGCUACACCUCUAAGUCUCAAAACAUUUGACCGACAAUGAUCCGACCACCCGUCGAUCAGCGAACAAAGUUACCCCAGGGAUAACAGCGCAAUCCUCUCACAGAGCCCAUAUCGACGAGAGGGUUUACGACCUCGAUGUUGGAUCAGGACAUCCCAAUGGUGCAGCCGCUAUUAA